rnacentral:lncRNA from 1 species
UUUUGUAACUUUGAUAUCCAUCACACCUAAAAACUCACCUUUCUCGUUUUUUCUGUGUUCCAGUGGACAGCGGUGUCGACGACGUGGUAGCAGGACCCGAGGGGGCGGGCUCCGGGGCGGGGGAAGGUUCGGUCUGCUCGGAGGAGCUCGAGGAGGGCUCCAACUCCCUGGUCAUCGACGAAGACGCCGACAUCGCCUCGCUCGCCGACGCCGAAGACGCCGACACGAACCACAACACGCCGCCCAAACGCCCCCCGCCCACCUCGCCCACCGUCAACGGGCGCGCCCCCCGGAAGCCCGACGACCCGGACGACGUCAACGACGGCGAUGACGAGGAUGACGUCGAGGAGGACUCGGACCACCAGCAGAACAUCAUGGAGGCCUACGAGAGGCUCGAGUCCUUCAAGGUGUUAAACGGAAUCGAAGAGGCCGAAAGCAACAUCAUCCUGAACAACCUGAACGUGAGGAGAGGUGGCCCGCGCGACACGAAGCUCAAGGAACUCCUGGAGCGCUCCUACACUGCCCUCAACCUCAACUCCCCCACCAAGUCCCCCGCACCCAGUUCCAGCCCCAAUCCCGCUACCAAAGAUGCCGAUCUUAACCUAGAAAAUAGUAAUUCAGACCAAGUCAACACUGGUGACAAACGUGUUGUGUUCCAGCACGAGUCGACUCUUAUUGCCCACUCUAGCAUGCGAUCGCUGUUCGGUCACCUCCGGCUAGAACGUGUCCACCCUCGGUUCGAGAGCAAACGCCGAUGCCGAAAGAAGUAGACAGCCGUCAUUUCCUUAAACAAUAGCCCGGUGUCCACCUUGAGUGUACCUUCGCGAACACGGUAAAUAAAUCGAUCGUGAAAUCUCGAAAACACGUACCUCCAUUCGCGACGCUCUCAGCUCCUGCCAAUAUUUACUCUUCAAGAUUCGACUAAUGAUGACUGAUCACCAUAGAACUGAGCAUUCAGUUUGUCAAUUUAAACAAAAUAGUGUAUCUCCUUCGGAAAAUACACCAAUGAAAAAGUUAAUUUACAAAAACUCGUCCAGCAAAGUGCCAUCUCCCCUCUUCUACAGUCAUCAGUCGUCAUCAGGUGCAUUUUAUUUUAUAUUUUGCUAAAAAAGUUACACUAACCAACCUUAGGCGGAAAUUAGCGUUGACAUUUAAAAACUUUCACCCAAAUCGAUUAUUUCUCUCAAAUUUUUAACGUGCGGGCUCAAAAAUCUAUUGUCCAUAGACCAGAACUAGUAAAUAGGACAAGUUUUGGUUAUUUUCCCGCAGGAAGUAAUUCAAUUCGCAGUCAUUCCACAUCCAAAAUUGGGCAGACAAUAGUCUCACGUAAAGCUCUCACAGAACCAUUCGUAAGGGAAAUGGCAGAGGCGCACAUUGGAUCGUGUCAAUAGGAGAAUUUGGACAAAAUAUGGAAACUUUAAAA